UACGGAGGGAGCUAGCGUUGUUCGGAAUUACUGGGCGUAAAGCGCACGUAGGCGGCUAUUCAAGUCAGAGGUGAAAGCCCGGGGCUCAACCCCGGAACUGCCUUUGAAACUAGAUAGCUAGAAUCUUGGAGAGGUCAGUGGAAUUCCGAGUGUAGAGGUGAAAUUCGUAGAUAUUCGGAAGAACACCAGUGGCGAAGGCGGCUCUCUAGUACGGUACUGACGCUGAGACGCGAAAGCGUGGGGAGCAAACAGG
rnacentral:rRNA from 1 species